GACGGAGGGGGCUAGCGUUGUUCGGAAUGACUGGGCGUAAAGGGCGCGUAGGCGGUCUAUCAAGUCAGGCGUGAAAGCCUUGGGCUUAACCUGAGAACUGCGUUUGAUACUGGUAGACUAGAGGACGAGAGAGGAAAGUGGAAUUCCGAGUGUAGAGGUGAAAUUCGUAGAUAUUCGGAGGAACAUCAGAGGCGAAGGCGACUUUCUGGCUCGUAUCUGACGCUGAGGCGCGAAAGCGUGGGGAGCAAACAGG
rnacentral:rRNA from 1 species